UUUGCCUACGGGAGGCAGCAGUGGGGAAUAUUGCACAAUGGGGGAAACCCUGAUGCAGCGACGCCGCGUGAGUGAAGAAGUAUUUCGGUACGUAAAGCUCUAUCAGCAGGGAAGAAAAUGACGGUACCUGACUAAGAAGCCCCGGCUAACUACGUGCCGGCAGCCGCGGUAAUACGUAGGGGGCAAGCGUUAUCCGGAUUUACUGGGUGGAAAGGGAGCGGAGACGGCAGCGCAAGUAUGGAGUGAAA
rnacentral:rRNA from 1 species